rnacentral:rRNA from 1 species
UGGGGAAUUUUGGACAAUGGGCGCAAGCCUGAUCCAGCCAUUCCGCGUGAGUGAAGAAGGCCUUCGGGUUGUAAAGCUCUUUCGCAAGGGAAGAAACGAUUUAGGUGAAUAAUCUAAGUUAAUGACGGUACCUUGAUAAGAAGCACCGGCUAACUACGUGCCAGCAGCCGCGGUAAUACGUAGGGUGCGAGCGUUAAUCGGAAUUACUGGGCGUAAAGCGUGCGCAGGCUGUUUUGUAAGUCAGAUGUGAAAUCCCUGGGCUCAACCUAGGAACUGCGUUUGAAACUACAAGACUAGAAUAUGUCAGAGGGGGGUAGAAUUCCACGUGUAGCAGUGAAAUGCGUAGAGAUGUGGAGGAAUAUCAAUGGCGAAGGCAGCCCCCUGGGAUAAUAUUGACGCUCAUGCACGAAAGCGUGGGGAGCAAACAGG